rnacentral:rRNA from 1 species
GACGAGGGAUCCUAGCGCUGCUCGGAAUUAUUGGGCGUAAAGCGGGUGUAGGUGGCUUGGUAAGUCGGGUGUGAAAGCCCAGGGCUCAACCCUGGAAGUGCAUUCGAUACUGCUGAGCUUGAGUGCGAGAGAGGUUAAUAGAAUACCUGGUGUAGUGGUGAAAUACGUAGAUAUCAGGUGGAACACCGGAGGCGAAGGCGGUUAACUGGCUCGACACUGACACUGAGACCCGAAAGCUAGGGGAGCGAAUGGG